rnacentral:misc_RNA from 1 species
GGACUGAUUCUCCCAGAAACCAUUCCAAAGAUUGACGCUAAGGAGCUAAAAUCAUGGGCCAAGCUAUCCUAUGUAGAACUAGCAAAGAAAAUAGUUCCCCUGUUUGUAGGCGAGGAUGAGAUUCCAACAUCUGAUCUAAGUGAUAUUAUCGACAAAGCCUUUUCCCGUUUCUCGGUACCGGAAGUUAGUCCAAUAAAGCGACUUCCGGAUGGAUUAAAUGUAAUGGAACUGUUUCACGGGCCGACAUGGUCAUUCAAGGACUUGGCUCUUUCGUGCGUCGGACAAUUCAUACCUUAUUUUCUUUCAAAGAGAAAGAAACAUUUUAAUAUUAUCGUUGGAACGUCCGGUGAUACCGGAAGUUCGGCCAUUGAAGCCGUAAGGGGACAGAAGUGGAUUGACAUUGUGGUGCUCCUCCCAAAGGGGCGCUGUUCACAGAUACAGGAGCUUCAGAUGACCACUGUGAUAGAGGACAAUGUACACGUGUAUAGAGUUGAUGGCUCGUCAGAUGACCUGGAUGCACCAAUCAAAUUAUGCUUCAGGGACAACACCUUCACCAAACGUCAUAACCUGUCCUCCAUUAACUCCAUAAACUGGGCGCGGAUCAUGGUUCAGACAGUGCACUAUAUUUACGCCUACUUACAGAUGUGCCCAUCCUGUGACAAAAUUGUUCAAGUUGUUGUACCCACAGGUGCUCUGGGCAAUAUAACUUCUGGCAUAAUUGCGAGAGAGAUGGGGGUUCAGUUAGAGUUCGUGUGCGCAGUAACCCAAAACGACGUCGUAGCACGCACAAUUCAAACAGGAAAUUACGCAAUUGCUGACCACGUGAUUGAGACUUUGGCACCAGCUAUGGAUAUCCAGAUUCCAUACAAUAUGGAGAGAAUCUGGUAUGUGUUGACAGGGGGAGACUGUAAACUAAUUAAAAAACUGAUGACAGAAUUUGAAGAAACCGGAAAUGUUAUGGUCCCCAAGGAGAUCACAGAGGCCUUACAGAAGGUCGUUGCGGACACGUUUGUCGCUACCGAUGACGUCAUCAGACGUACGAUGAAAAGAACCUGGGACGCACAUGAAUACCUGGUGUGUCCUCAUACUGCGACAGGGGUGGCCUACCAUUAUCAACAGCUCCAGAAGAACCCUGAGGAAAAGAAAGCACGAAUCAUCAUUGCCACGGCAUCCGUUAUAAAAUUCGAGGAGGCGCUGCAAUCGGCCGCCAUUCCUUUCACACGUGACCCACGAGUAUCGAAGUUAUUUGAAAGCAAGCAGAGAUACAAGGACAUGAAAAAAGAGGAUAACUGGCUGGAAAUGUUACAGGACAAAAUAGAGGACAUCGACAGAAAUCGCACAAAGGAAUGACCAUUUGAGAGAAAAACAUGUUUUGUUUUACUAUAACUGUCCAAUAAAUGGUUUGGUUCACAUGCAUACAUGCUUGAAUCAUCUGUAUUACUC